UCCGUAGGUGGAUAAUUAAGUCAGAGGUGAAAUCCUGCAGCUCAACUGUAGAAUUGCCUUUGAUACUGGUUGUCUUGAAUUAUUGUGAAGUAGUUAGAAUAUGUAGUGUAGCGGUGAAAUGCAUAGAUAUUACAUAGAAUACCAAUUGCGAAGGCAGAUUACUAACAAUAUAUUGACGCUGAGGGACGAAAGCGUGGGGAGCGAACAGGAUUAGAUACCCUGGUAGUCC
rnacentral:rRNA from 1 species